rnacentral:tRNA from 1 species
AUUUAAAUAAUUUAAGUUUAAAAAUAUUGAUUUGUGGUGUCAAAAAUAUGAUUAAAAAAUUCAUUUUAAAUU